rnacentral:rRNA from 1 species
CACGUAGGGCGCAAGCGUUGUCCGGAAUUAUUGGGCGUAAAGAGCUCGUAGGCGGUCUGUUGCGCCUGCUGUGAAAACUCGGGGCUUAACCCCGAGCCUGCAGUGGAUACGGGCAGACUAGAGGUAGGUAGGGGAGAAUGGAAUUCCCGGUGUAGCGGUGAAAUGCGCAGAUAUCGGGAGGAACACCGGUGGCGAAGGCGGUUCUCUGGGCCUUACCUGACGCUGAGGAGCGAAAGCGUGGGGAGCGAACAGG